AAAAUUAGAGUGUUCAAAGCGGGCAGAUAUUUUUCCUGCCACCGAAUACAUUAGCAUGGGAUAAUGGAAUAGGACCCUGACCUCCUAUUUUCAGUUGGUUUUGUUUACAGCGAGGUUAUAUCAGGGUAAUGAUUAAUAGGGAUAGUUGGGGGCAUUAAUAUUUAAUUGUCAGAGGUGAAAUUCUUGGAUUUAUGAAAGAUUAACUUCUGCGAAAGCGUUUGCCAAGGAUGUUUUCAUUAAUCAAGAACGAAAGUUAGGGGAUCGAAGACGAUCAGAUACCGUCGUAGUCUUAACCAUAAACGAUGCCGACCAGCGAUUAGGAGACGUUGAAUACAAAACACCGCCGUUAAUCCUCUCGGGGUAAUGU
rnacentral:rRNA from 1 species